UCAACUUCCAUUAUGUUAACGGAGCCAACAACAUCUGCACUUUCCUGGUUCAGUACACAAGUGAAGUACCCACCCUAGGACUCCAUAGUGCUACAAAAUGAAAAUACAUAAUAGCAUAUCAGUAUCGAAGCAUUCCAUCAACUUGAAGCAAAUUGCAAGUACUAUUCAAACAAGCACCCGUGAGAACUAUAGCAAGCAAUGCAGUGCCAAUAGAAACGGCUCAAUGCCACUAAUCAGACAUACAACUUAACAUUACCACAUAAUCAAUAGCAAUGAUUCUAUGUCGUCCAUAUGAAAUUUAGCAUAGACACAUCAUAACAUUUGGGUAAAAGAAGAGAUGUUUCAAUUACUGAUGGAGGUACAAGUGUACAACGCUACAUCACUAGCUAUAUAUUUCUAAUAACUCUGAAAAUCAAAAUAUUAAACUUUUAGAUAUUCGUCGGAUACCAUUAUAAGUUGUUUGAUUGCCUUCAACUGAGUCUCAUUUGGACAGAGAUCUCUGUGCACAGGCUGUAGGUUGUCCACCAACAAGACAUGACAUCAUUAGCGAUCCAAAGAAAACAAACCUGAAAUCAGACAUCCAGGAGGGAUCAUUGUUGCCAUAAGGUUGAUUUUGGUCGAGGUCGAAUAUGAGUUUGUGGGCGUGAAGCAGCUCCAACAGACAUUGAACCUCCACAAUCUUGGCGAAUCACAUCUAUAGUGACGUUUCAUGAAGUCUUACACCUCUUUACCUGUGCCUACAUCGAUCCAUCCCCAGGAAUGCCGCUGGAACAUAUGGCGCGCGGGUCAGGAUGCGGAGCGCGACAAGCCAUCGAUUAGGGAGUGCGAAAAGCCGUCGGGUCAAGACGUCGGUGGGUCGGGGAGAGGGAGGUGGUCGGGCUAGUGCUGGGUGGGUGCAGAGGGAGGUGUUUCGGCGAGAAGCUAUUUUUUACAGUCAAUCCUAUACCUAGAAAAAAACUGCGAGAGGCUUCGUCCAAAAAAAAACCUAUGAGGAGGCAGAUGCAAUGUUUCAGCGGCGCCGGCGCAUGGGGCGGAGGGUCUGUCUGAACGGCGACCGGUGUCCUCCUUCCUGUCCAGACGCGAAUCGGAUCAUGGCGCCCCCCUGCCAGUCUGCCACCUCAGGCACACUCAGCUGUCGGUGUGGUGGCAUGCCUCGGUAUGCUGACUUCGGCUCUUCUCAACCCUUCUGCCUCGAGGCCUGCAUCUCCUCGACUCGUCGCCGAUCUCCUGUGAUCCUGUCUCGACCUCGGCCCUCCACUGAAUAUUCAAGACAUGGAGGAUUACCC
rnacentral:lncRNA from 1 species